UGCCCCUGGGAGACGUCGCAAGNUUAAACCNANGNAUUACGGGGNCCCCCCAANGGUGGAUGAUUGGAUUAUUCGAUGCNACGCGAAGACCUUCCCNGUCUUGANAUUACGGAAUCCNCCAGAGACGGAGGAGNGCCUUCGGGAGCCGUNACACAGGUGCUGCAUGGCUGUCGUCAGCUCGUGUCGUGAGAUGUUGGGUUAAGUCCCGCAACGAGCGCAACCCUUGUCAUUAGUUGCCAUCAUUUAGUUGGGCACUCUAAUGAGACUGCCGGUGACAAGCCGGAGGAAGGUGGGGAUGACGUCAAGUCCUCAUGGCCCUUAUGACCAGGGCUUCACACGUCAUACAAUGGUCGGUACAGAGGGUAGCCAAGCCGCGAGGUGGAGCCAAUCUCACAAAACCGAUCGUAGUCCGGAUUGCACUCUGCAACUCGAGUGCAUGAAGUCGGAAUCGCUAGUAUUUUNCAGGUCAAGCAUACUGCGGUGAAUACGUUCCCGGGUCUUGUACACACCGCCCGUCACACCAUGGGAGUGGGGGAUACCAGAAGUAGGUAGGGUA
rnacentral:rRNA from 1 species